rnacentral:lncRNA from 1 species
GGAAAAAAAAAAAAGAAGAAGGAAACUAUUGUAAACACUCAGCUACCGUUUGAUUCGGGGUUAAGGAAAAACUAGUUAUUCCAGGGAUAGGAUUAAGUUUAGGGUUAAGGUGGGGUUAAAGUAUUUUUGUAUUUGGUUGGAGGUUAGAGUUAAGUCAGGAUAGUGAAAAAUAGUGUUUGGUUGGAAUAAGUGGGAUAAGAAGGAUAGUGGGUUAUUAUGAAUAAAAAAUAGUAUUUGGUUGGAGUUUGGUGGGGUUAGGUGGAGUUAGCUAACCCGAAAUAUCCCAUUUGAGGUGGCCCAUUUUUAGAAGUGUUUGGGGAUAAAAUGGGGGUUAAGGGGUUAUU